UACGUAGGGGGCAAGCGUUGUCCGGAUUUAUUGGGCGUAAAGAGCGUGUAGGCGGUUUUACAGGUCCGCUGUGAAAACUCGAGGCUCAACUUCGAGCUGUCGGUGGAAACUGUCUGGCUAGAGUCCGGAAGAGGAGAAUGGAAUUCCUGGUGUAGCGGUGAAAUGCGCAGAUAUCAGGAAGAACACCCGUGGCGAAGGCGGUUCUCUGGGACGGUACUGACGCUGAGACGCGAAAGCGUGGGGAGCGAACAGG
rnacentral:rRNA from 1 species